ACUAAUAUGGUGAAAUUGGUAGACACGGUAGAUUUAGAAUCUAUUUCAGUAUUUGAGUAAGGGUUCAAGUCCCUUUAUUAGUA
rnacentral:tRNA from 1 species